rnacentral:lncRNA from 1 species
UUCAUGAAACCUUCCAGACCUUAAUCCUAUAAUAUUUUAUGAUUUUUAUGCAUUUAAAAUUAUAGCAAUACCUCGAAAGUGUGAAAUUACAAAAAUACCCUUUUAUAUGGGUAUUUUUGUAAUUUAGCCUUCUCGAGCUCAAAAUUUUGUGAAACUUUCCAUAUCUCACUUUUGUAACAUCUCAUCAUUUUGGUGAGUACAAAAUCAUAGUAGUAUCUUGAGAAGUGUGAAAUUAUCAA